rnacentral:tRNA from 1 species
GGGGCGAUAGUUCAGCUGGGAGAACGCUACAUUCGCAUUGUAGAGGUCGUGGGUUCAAAUCCCACUCGCUCCACCA